CGCACUGAAGGUUUGUUCACAGCUCUACAUCAUCUCCAGGCUGAGAUACAGAUCAGCUAAAGAACCAUGGCGACAAUUUUAGUUGAAUAUUGUCAAGGAUGAGGGUAUGCAUACCGCUAUCGGCAACUAGCCGAAGACCUCAAGAAGAUUCCUGGUGUAAAGCAGGUGACUGGAAAAGUCGGGAACCCAGGAAGCUUUGAGGUGUUUGUGAAUGGUCAGCUGAUCUACUCCAAGCUUAGUAAGGGAUCGUUUCCUGAUCCUGCUCAGGUGGUGGAGAUGGUGAAGAAGAUCAUUGGCCCUGACUGAGGAAAAGGGCGUAAACAUUAAUGAUCUCUAACCGUUAGAAGAUGGGGGUCAAAACAUCAGCUGUAUUCACACUGCAAGAACAAUGGUUUGUUUCUUUUUAUGGUUCAGAACACAUUCGCUCACAGCUGCUAAUCUGAAUACAAAAGGAUUUUCAAGCAUUCAAAUAUGUAUUAAAACUUUUAUUUUUUUUAAAUGUAAUUUUGAACCAAAAUCAAAACCCUAAAGUAUCACCGUCAGCCAUGAGAAGAUCAGACCGUAUGUCUUCACUGUGAAUACAGACACAGACGAGAAGAUGAGAGCAACUCUGAGGAGCCGGGCACUGAUCUGCACUUCUGUUUAUGAAUGUGCACACUAAAAGUAAUGCAGUGUGCACACGAUGAAAGUCCAGAAGCUUUUCAGCUGACUGGAGCCUGAGGAACUGCUCUCGCCACGUCCGUCUGGCAUUUACUCAUUAAUAAAUCAUAUCUACCACUGCAUUACUCAGGAAUCUAAAUCAAGCCACAUACACGUUUUAAUAUUCAGCUUUUCUCUGUUUGGAUAAUUCCAAAUGCUUCAGAUCCCCUAAUUGGGCACACAUUUAAAGGAAUAAUUUGGUGUUUCUGGAAAUUUGCUUUAUUCCCCAAGAGUUGGAUUUUAAAGCUAUCACUAGCAGCUUGUUAGCUUAGCUUAGCAUAAAUAAUGGAAAAGGGAAAAUCAGCUAUCCUUGUUUGGUCCUAUCAACAAAAUCUGCCUCCUAUCACAUCUAAUCUCAUUAUUUUCUAACAUAUCGGAUAUGUUUUACAUUCAUACUUCCCCUUAUAUGCUCUACUUAAAAAAAAAUACAUACAUGGACUAUCACCUGGAAGAUGUUUUGUAAUAAAGAGUACUGCCAUCUCUGUUAUUAUUCUAGCAUUUACCAGCUAAGAUAAACAUUAAAUCAAUGACAAAUGUUACAUAUUCGAUAUUUAAUUUGACUCGGAGCAUAUAUUUGAACCUUUUUGAAAACGACUUACAGUAUUGUAAUGCUGCUGGCAGCUGAUUUGUAAUCAAUUCCAACAAAAUGUAAUUUCCUGAAAUGCAAUAAAAA